UCCUUUUCUUCAAGAGAGUUCAAGAAGAGAGAAGAAGAAAAAGAAACCUUGAGCUAGAGAGAGAGAGCUCGGAUUUGGGAGGAAAAAAUAGCAAAAAUGAGCUGCAAACAGUCCGCAACUUUCAGCACGCUAAAGAGGUUUCCGAGGCACAAUUUUGGCUAGUUUUGGCCAAUUUCGGGUAAGGUUCAAAGGACGACGAGGCGAACGGGAUAAAGAGUAACCCGUAAGAGAUAUGUUUCCAGCUAUGUUAUGCUAUACUAUGUUUCACAUACUCAGUACAUAUAUCGUACUGACCCUCUUUCUUCGGGGGGCUGCGUUCAUGCCCGCAGGUACAUAUACACCAUUUGGGGAUCCGCCAGCAUAGGAGUUCCACUCAGCAGUCCGAAAGUGCUCCAUUGUGCUGGAGCCUGAUUUUGGGUACUAAACCUUAUUGUAUAUAUUUGUUUUGCUCACGGGUACGACGGGGGCCCUGUCCCGCCUUAUGUUACUGUUUUCUUACUCUUAGAGGUCUGUGGAUACGGAUGUGGGUUGUAUGUAUGUGGGUUGUAUGUGUACGUGAGUUGUAUAUAUAUGUAUGUACAGCUGUAUUGAUAUGACUUAUGAUUUUGGGGCA